UACGUAGGUGGCAAGCGUUAUCCGGAUUUAUUGGGCGUAAAGGGAACGCAGGCGGUCUUUUAAGUCUGAUGUGAAAGCCUUCGGCUUAACCGGAGUAGUGCAUUGGAAACUGGGAGACUUGAGUGCAGAAGAGGAGAGUGGAACUCCAUGUGUAGCGGUGGAAUGCGUAGAUAUAUGGAAGAACACCAGUGGCGAAUGCGGCUCUCUGGUCUGUAACUGACGCUGAGGUUCGAAAGCGUGGGUAGCAAACAGG
rnacentral:rRNA from 1 species